rnacentral:rRNA from 1 species
GACGAACGCUGGCGGCGUGCCUAAUACAUGCAAGUAGAACGCACAGUUUAUACCGUAGCUUGCUACACCAUACACUGUGAGUUGCGAACGGGUGAGUAACGCGUAGGUAACCUGCCUGGUAGCGGGGGAUAACUAUUGGAAACGAUAGCUAAUACCGCAUAAUAUUAAUUAUUGCAUGAUAAUUGAUUGAAAGAUGCAAUUGCAUCACUACCAGAUGGACCUGCGUUGUAUUAGCUAGUAGGUGAGGUAACGGCUCACCUAGGCGACGAUACAUAGCCGACCUGAGAGGGUGAUCGGCCACACUGGGACUGAGACACGGCCCAGACUCCUACGGGAGGCAGCAGUAGGGAAUCUUCGGCAAUGGACGAAAGUCUGACCGAGCAACGCCGCGUGAGUGAAGAAGGGUUUCGGAUCGUAAAGCUCGGUUGUAAGAGAAGAACGGGUGUGAGAGUGGAAAGUUCACACUGUGACGGUAUCUUACCAGAAAGGGACGGCUAACUACGUG